UACCAGCACCCCGAGUGGUCGGGACGUUUAUUGGGCCUAAAGCAUCCGUAGCCGGUUCUACAAGUCUUCCGUUAAAUCCACCUGCUUAACAGAUGGGCUGCGGAAGAUACUAUAGAGCUAGGAGGCGGGAGAGGCAAGCGGUACUCGAUGGGUAGGGGUAAAAUCCGUUGAUCCAUUGAAGACCACCAGUGGCGAAGGCGGCUUGCCAGAACGCGCUCGGACGGUGAGGGAUGAAAGCUGGGGGGAGCAAACCGG
rnacentral:rRNA from 1 species